rnacentral:snRNA from 1 species
GUACUCGCUUGGGCGGUACAUAUACUAAAAUUGGAAUGGUACAAAGAAGAUUAGCAUGGCCCCUGCACAAGGAUGACACGCAAAAUUGUGAAGCGUCCCAUAUUUUC